rnacentral:rRNA from 1 species
UACGUAGGGGGCAAGCGUUGUCCGGAUUUAUUGGGCGUAAAGAGCGUGUAGGCGGCCUGAAAGGUCAGCUGUGAAAACUCGGGGCUCAACCCCGAGACGUCGGUUGAAACCAUCUGGCUAGAGUCCGGAAGAGGAGUGUGGAAUUCCCGGUGUAGCGGUGAAAUGCGCAGAUAUCGGGAAGAACACCCGUGGCGAAGGCGGCACUCUGGGACGGUACUGACGCUGAGACGCGAAAGCGUGGGGAGCGAACAGGAUUAGAUACCCUGGUAGUCCACGCCGUAAACGAUGGGUGCUAGGUGUGGGGGGUGUCGACUCCCUCCGUGCCGAAGCUAACGCAUUAAGCACCCCGCCUGGGGAGUACGGCCGCAAGGCUA